UGGCAUUUUAUUGAUUAAUAAUUGACCCGGGAGACACAACCCAGGCCAGGUGUAUAAAAGUACAGGCUAAGCAAGCUACCAAGCAGCAUUCCUCCAUGCUACGACUCUACUCCAGUUUUGCUUCCAGGUUCCUGAGUUGAUGGACUACGAUACGCAAGUUGAGAAACAGCCAUCGCAUAGCUGCCUGGGUGCGCGUGGCUCCACAUAAUGAAACGAGCUACUGGAAACUAUUGCAGUCCUCUCGUAUACAAGAUGUGGCAUGCACAGCCCGGGCCUCUCCUCCUCUCAUCCGAUCCUGAACGAAGCAAAGGAGAGCAGUUACCAAACAGAAAAGUGACGGUGAUAAAUACUCUUCAGUGCUACGUCUGAUAUGAUUAACAAUUUAUUUUGGCAACACCCAGGAGGGAUUUCAUAUGGUUUGACUGAAUUCAGUAGGACUCCUGCCAACAGAACCAGGAACACUAAGAAAUAGUCCAGGCUGAGGGAGCCGCGGGGGAGGGGGUGCACAUCUUGUUACAUUUCAUAGCCUUGCCUAUGAUCUGGAGAUCAGCCGUCAGCUGUUGCUCAACCCUCCCAUUUCCAACUGCUCCUCCACUGUUGUCUUGCGAGGCUGGGGUUGAUGGAUGGAUUUAUAAUGAGCGCUGUAGAUAGCCCCGAGGACAACGCUUCGCAAGAAGGGAAAGGAAACAGGUGGCAGCCAAAUAUUUUGCAAUCUACAAGUAUUCCUAAAAUAUGGGUGUUCUAUCCCAGUUGUCAGCUUUAAGAAGCACAAACGCUACGAGCUGUGGACUUUCAGAGUUAACUGUUGAAGUGAAAUUCACUUUCAGGGAGAAAGAAAGGUUGAUCUUAUUCCUUCUUCGCUGGAGCCGAUGGAGCGGAUGGUUCCUUCUGUAAGGAGGAACUUUCACAACCAUGACAGUCUUUGUGUUGUCGUUUCUGGCCUGCUUGAUUUCUCCUCAGGGCGAAUUUAAAAGGAGGUCCUGGGCACACACCUCUGAGUUCGAAUCCCCAAGUUUGUCACUUCUCUUUCUCUUUCCUGGGACUUGUUCACCUGCAGAGAACAGAGGUCCCCAUACUUCUUUAACUCGUGAGAAACCAGCAGGAAAGUCCUGGCUGCAAGUGGCUCUAUCUACUUGAUAGGACAUUUAAGGCAAAAGAGGAAGCCACCCAUAGCUGUCAGCUGCCUCUUCACCUUCCUCCUCCUCUCUUCCUUUAUCUCCUCUUCCUUCUUCCUUCUCUUCCUUUUGAGGAGGGGUGGGGAAACCCCACUAUGUUGCCUAGGCUGAUUCUGAACUUUGGCUGGAGGGAGGGGCUCGAGUAAUCCUUUGUCCUCAGCUUUUCCAGGUGUAUGUAAUGUGCCCAGGAGCCAUAUGCUGGACAUACUUAAUAGUAACA